rnacentral:tRNA from 4 species
GCGCCGGCAGCUGACUCGGUGAUAGCGCCGCGCUGAAAACGCGGAGAGGGACGUUCAACUCGUUCCCGGGGCACCA